UCCGCCCGGAUACUACGAGCACAGNUUAAAACCCAAAGGACUUGGCGGUGUCUCAGACCCACCUAGAGGAGCCUGUUCUAUAACCGAUAACCCCCGUUAAACCUCACCACUUCUUGCAUAAACCGCCUAUAUACCGCCGUCGUCAGCUUACCCUGUGAAGGCCCAACAGUAAGCAAAAUGGGCACACCCAAAAACGUCAGGUCGAGGUGUAGCGCACGAAGUGGGAAGAAAUGGGCUACAUUUUCUGUCACAGAAAAUUACGAAUAGUACUCUGAAACAUAGUACUUAAAGGUGGAUUUAGCAGUAAAAA
rnacentral:rRNA from 1 species